rnacentral:rRNA from 1 species
UACGUAGGGGGCUAGCGUUGUUCGGAAUUACUGGGCGUAAAGCGCGCGUAGGCGGCUUUGCAAGUUAGAGGUGAAAGCCCGGAGCUUAACUCCGGAACUGCCUUUAAAACUGCAUCGCUAGAAUCGUGGAGAGGUGAGUGGAAUUCCGAGUGUAGAGGUGAAAUUCGUAGAUAUUCGGAAGAACACCAGUGGCGAAGGCGACUCACUGGACACGUAUUGACGCUGAGGUGCGAAAGCGUGGGGAGCAAACAGG